CAGGCAGAGAGAAGCAGGCUGCCCUUGGCUGAACAGAAACCGUGAAGUAGGUAAUGAAGAUGCACAAGUUCGGGUCAAAUUCGCCCUCCGGAAAAACUGCAAAUUAAGAUGCUGUUGACGGAUACGCCGCAGGCUGUCUUAAGCGUCGUGAUCAAAAUCCAAAUAGGCCUCUCUUCACAUGGACUCUCAUCAUUCAGUAGCCCAGCCUGGACUUCCCCACAACAUGGCAGCUGGGGUCCAAGAGGGAAGAAGUGGAAGCUACUAGUCCUUUUAAGGCCUGUGCCACUGGAAGUCUCAAAAUGUCAUUCCCAUCUCAUUCUGUUGGUUAAAGCCAGUCACAAGCCUACAGGAGGCUUAGGUGACACACACCUCUACAUGCAGGAAUAGCGGUGUUUGUGACUGG